rnacentral:rRNA from 1 species
UACAGAGGGUGCAAGCGUUGUUCGGAAUCAUUGGGCGUAAAGCGCUUGUAGGCGGCUUGUUAAGUCGCGUGUGAAAUCCCUUGGCUCAACCAAGGAAGUGCGCGCGAAACUGGCGAGCUCGAGUGCCGGAGAGGGUCGCGGAAUUCCCGGUGUAGAGGUGAAAUUCGUAGAUAUUCGGAAGAACACCAGUGGCGAAGGCGACUCACUGGACAUGUAUUGACGCUGAGGUGCGAAAGCGUGGGGAGCAAACAGG